GAUGAACGCUGGCGGCGUGCCUAAUACAUGCAAGUCGAGCGAACAGGUGAGGAGCUUGCUCCUCUGACGUUAGCGGCGGACGGGUGAGUAACACGUGGAUAACCUACCUAUAAGACUGGGAUAACUUCGGGAAACCGGAGCUAAUACCGGAUAAUAUAUUGAACCGCAUGGUUCAAUAGUGAAAGACGGUUUUGCUGUCACUUAUAGAUGGAUCCGCGCCGCAUUAGCUAGUUGGUAAGGUAACGGCUUACCAAGGCAACGAUGCGUAGCCGACCUGAGAGGGUGAUCGGCCACACUGGAACUGAGACACGGUCCAGACUCCUACGGGAGGCAGCAGUAGGGAAUCUUCCGCAAUGGGCGAAAGCCUGACGGGGCAACGCCGCGUGAGUGAUGAAGGUCUUCGGAUCGUAAAACUCUGUUAUUAGGGAAGAACAAAUGUGUAAGUAACUAUGCACGUCUUGACGGUACCUAAUCAGAAAGCCACGGCUAACUACGUG
rnacentral:rRNA from 1 species